rnacentral:rRNA from 1 species
GCGAGCGGCGGAUGGGUGAGUAACACGAGGGGAACCUGCCCCAUAGCCUGGGAUACCACUUGGAAACAGGUGCUAAUACCGGAUAAGAAAGCAGAUCGCAUGAUCAGCUUUUAAAAGGCGGCGUAAGCUGUCGCUAUGGGAUGGCCCCGCGGUGCAUUAGCUAGUUGGUAAGGUAAAGGCUUACCAAGGCGAUGAUGCAUAGCCGAGUUGAGAGACUGAUCGGCCACAUUGGGACUGAGACACGGCCCAAACUCCUACGGGAGGCAGCAGUAGGGAAUCUUCCACAAUGGACGCAAGUCUGAUGGAGCAACGCCGCGUGAGUGAAGAAGGUUUUCGGAUCGUAAAGCUCUGUUGUUGGUGAAGAAGGAUAGAGGUAGUAACUGGCCUUUAUUUGACGGUAAUCAACCAGAAAGUCACGGCUAACUACGUGCCAGCAGCCGCGGUAAUACGUAGGUGGCAAGCGUUGUCCGGAUUUAUUGGGCGUAAAGCGAGCGCAGGCGGAAGAAUAAGUCUGAUGUGAAAGCCCUCGGCUUAACCGAGGAACUGCAUCGGAAACUGUUUUUCUUGAGUGCAGAAAGAGGAGAGUGGAACUCCAUGUUGUAGCGGUGGAAUGCGUAGAUAUAUGGAAGAACACCAAGUGGCGAAAGGCGGCUCUUCUGGUCUGCAACUGACGCU